UAAAGAGGUUGAAUCAGACUUUAACGUACCCGGCAAAGACAAAGAGGUAGCACCAUACCCAGGAUUGUACAGCGCAAUUACUUAAAAUUCUACUUUCUGAUUGCUGAGACUCUCCCCAACAGCCUUCUCCCAGUAGACUCCAAAAAUACUGGUAGCCAGCUUUUAUCUUACUACAGAAGACUGGAAGACUUCCCUUAGGAAAAACAAACCACCACCACCAACAAUAAUCAAACAAAAAACCUGAGAAAACAGGUAUACAGAGAAAAGAACUUCAGAUAGUGUCACUUAGGAGUUCCAUUAGAAAACAGCCAAGUGUACCUAAGAAUCUUACCACUUCACAAGCAGCAGCAAUGUGAAAAUCAGCAUUUUUAGUGCCUAUUAAAUAUAAACACACAACUAAGGAUCACCAGAUACUUAAAGAAAAUUUCUACUUUUAAAUUCAAAGCCAAAGACAAACAUAACAAGGGAACUUGGAGAAGAAGACAAUAAAAAGCAGAAGAAAAAAACUAAAGAACAGGUUGGGGGUAAGGCAUUCAGAGAACACAAAAGAGCCUUUGGAAAUUAAAAACAUGAUACUUGAAAAUUAAAAAAAAACAAAACAAGAAGGUUGGAAGAUAAAUUUGAAAAAUUCUCCCAGAAAGCAGAACAAAAAGACAAAGAGAUUGAUAAUAGGAGAGAAAAAUACAGUUAUAAUUAAGAAGGUCCAACAUCUGAAUAAAAGUCACAGAAUGAGAAUAUAGAAAAUAAAUCAUCAAAGAAAUAACAUAGAAAAGCUUUCCAGAACUCAAGGUGUAAGUUUCCAGAUAGAAAAGACUCACCUAAUAAAUUUCAGUUCAAUGAAAGAAACAAAGAGGUAAGGGGGAGGGGAUCACACAAAGGCAUAUCAUCAUCACAUUCUAGAACACUGGGGAAAAAGAGAAGAUGUUAAAAGCUUCUGGAGGGGAAAAUAAAGGAUCACACAUAAAAAGCCAGGAAUCACAAUGACAUCAAACAUCCCAAUGAGGCGAGAUGCUUGAAGAUAAUGGAGUUCUGUCUUCAAAAUGCCGAGAGAAAAUAGUUAUGAAACAUGAAUUCCAUACACAUCCAAAUUAUCACCCAAGUGUAAGGAAAAGAAACAUUCAGACAUAUAAGAUCAAGAAUUUUAACCUUCUAUGAGACCCUUUUCAAGAAGCUAAUAGAGGAUGUGUUCUAUCAAGAAAAAGGAAUUAACCAGAGUAAUGGAAUCCGAAAAACAGGAGGUUCGGCACCAAGGAGACUGGCAGGUGCAUUCCCAGGAUGAUAACGUUGAAAGGAAGUUGGCCUAGAAAGCAAGCAAAUCCAGACUGGAGCAAGAUGACCAAGAAAUUCAGGAGAUGUGUCUGUGAAAAGAAAAUGGCAAAAGUACUGCUGUUCAAUUAAGGAAACUUCAUCAGAAUCUCCAGGGGAAAUAAUAAGGGGAGGUCUUUGUGUGUAUAAUUUGGUGACAGUAGAUUUACUACUAACUCCAAACAAACUCCAAGUUUGUCAGAAAGAGGACAAAGAACAAACAGCAGCUGUGUUCAAGCAAAUCCAGAAGAAGAGAAAACAGAUUUGAAGGGCAGGUUUAAGGAUGCUGGUGCUACUCAGGGAAGGAAGAAAGAAGGAAGUGAGGGAGCAAAUGAUACCACUGCAUACACAUGUAUAGCUCAAGAAGACAGAACAAAGAGGAAGAAUGAAUACUAAUUUUAAGAUCUGCACUCACUGCAGGCUAAGAAAAUAAAUCCUUUUAAUCAAUAUUAUAUAUUGUUGCAUAAUGUGUAUUCAUUUUUAUUCUUAAACAUUGUCACUCAGAAUCUCCAUGAAUUCUCAUUCCUCUACCUGAAUCCCUCCUCAACUAUUUGUGAUUUUGAACAAAUUUCUCUAUCUAAAGUGCUAAAAGUAACCUGAACUGGGGAAAAAUAAGACUUGAAAAAUUCCCAGUAAGAAACAAAUGUUUUAUUUACAAUCAAAUCAAUCAGUCAUAAUAAGCCAAAAAAAACGACAAGAUCAAAUAUGGAAUUUUAAAAAUCCCUACAAAAUAAUAAAUCAAGUGCUCUUCCCUACUGUAAAUUAUGGGCUCUCCCCUUACAUACAGACAUUCUUCGAAGAGCUUUAAAGCAUUUUUCUAAGAGUAGUAAUACCUAUAUACUCAUGUAUAGUCCACAGAUGAUCAACAAUAUACAUUUGUGAACUGGUUGGGAAUGAGUGUACAAUUUGUACUCAAG